rnacentral:rRNA from 1 species
UACGAAGGUCCCAAGCGUUAUCCGGAUUUAUUGGGUUUAAAGGGUGCGUAGGCGGACUGUUAAGUCAGUGGUGAAAGCUCCAUGCCUAACAUGGAAAUUGCCAUUGAUACUGAUAGUCUUGAGUACAUUUGAAGUGGGCGGAAUGUGUCAUGUAGCGGUGAAAUGCUUAGAUAUGACACAGAACACCGAUUGCGUAGGCAGCUCGCUAAACUGUAACUGACGCUGAGGCACGAAAGCGCGGGGAGCAAACAGG